rnacentral:rRNA from 1 species
AUGGUCUUGGCCUUGGUGAUGGACAAGGGCAAGGUCGUUAUAGAGGAAUGUUUGGAUACCUCGAUGGACCAUUUCCGUAUGGCGGCUUCCCAACCCAACAAACCAACAAUGAAGGAGGAUGGCGAAGAUGAGAUGGCGGGAUGGUGGGAGAAGGCUGCGAAGAAGCUUAGAGAGGAGGAUGCAGCCGCACUAAAGAAGAAGGAAGAGGAGCUUGAGGAGAAGAGGAAGGAAAUAGAGAGAGCGUUAAAUGCGAUGCACGCUAGGGAGCAAGCGUUGGUGAGGAAAUGUGAGGAGGCACAGAAGAAGCGUCAAAAGGAUUUUGAAGAAAGAACCAUGAAGCUUUGGGCAAUUGCAGCUGAAAAAAGAGAGAGAGGGAGAAUCAGAUAUUCAUGGAGAGGGUGGUUAAGGAGGCUCACCUCAUAA